GACGAACCGUGCGAACGUUGUUCGGAAUCACUGGGCUUAAAGGGCGCGUAGGCGGGCUGCCAAGUCCGUGGUGAAAUCCCCCGGCUCAACCGGGGAACGGCCUCGGAUACUGGCGGCCUGGAGGCGGGUAGGGGCAAGCGGAACUGUGGGUGGAGCGGUGAAAUGCGUUGAGAUCCACAGGAACUCCGGUGGCGAAGGCGGCUUGCUGGACCCGAUCUGACGCUGAGGCGCGAAAGCGUGGGGAGCAAACAGG
rnacentral:rRNA from 1 species